ACAGAGAAACCCUGUCUCAAAAAAAACCAAACCAAAAAAAAAGAAUUUGCCUAUAUUAAAUGUAAAGUUCUCUAAAGACUUUAUUUAUGACCAUGUUUCUGGGAGUUUAAGUUUGUCUUUAACAUUUCUGCAGAAUGUUUUUUACCUUUAACAUUUCUGCAGAAUGUGUUUACUACCUUCAGAUGUGUCUGUAAUUAUCUUAUGUCAAUUUAGAACACAUUUUCCCAAUAAUUUGCCACAGAUAAGAAAGUGAUUGGUUUUCAAUACAUUUUUAAAAUGUAAAUCAUUGAGCUGCAUAGAAUAUUUACCUAGCGUGAUCAAGGCCCUGGCUUCAAACCCCCUAUUCUGCACCUAAAUUACAGGUACAGGUAAGAGUUCUGCUGUAUUAAGUCCUAACUAUCUGUAUCAUAAGAACACUGCUCUUGGGCAGGUGAGAUGGCUCAGUGGGUAAGAGCACCCGACUGCUCUUUUGAAGGUCCGGAGUUCACAUCCCAGCAACCACAUAGUGGCUCACAACCAUCUGUAACAAUAUCUGACGCCCUCUUCUGGAGUGUCUGAAGACAGCCACAGUGUACUUACAUAUAAUAAAUAAAUAAAUCUUAAAAAAAAAAGGGGGGGGUUUUAGGGUUGUCAGGCAGUGGUGGCACAUGCCUUUAAUCCCAGUACUAGGGAGGCAGAGGCAGGAGAAUUUCUGAGUUCGAGGCCAGCCUAGUCUACAGAGUAAGUUCCAGGAGAGCCAGGGAUAUACACAGAGAAAAACAGUCUGGAAAAAAAUCAAAAAAUAAAGUUAAAAAAAAAAAAAAAAAACACUGCUCUUGACUUUAGAGCAUCUAAGUAUUUUUAUAUCUCAGAAGAGGGAAGAUUUCUCUUUGUUGUAUGGUCAUGUGCAACUGUUAACAUGCAUCAAAAGAUGAGGUGUGUGUGGCCCACAGUAGAUCCCUUUAAUCUCAGCAGGAAGAGGCAGGUUCAAGGCUUCAUAGAGCUGUUCGUGACAACCUGAAUUGAUUCCCAAAUCCCACAAGGUAGAAACACAGAACUGACUCCUGAAAGUUGUCUUGUGACCUCCACACGUGCACCCUGGUUCCUAGGGAUCUUGGAUGGGAGUUGGGGAGGGGGGAGAAGCCUGAAAUUCUGUUAUGUGUCAGUUUUUUUCCACACAACAGUAGUUCAGCUUUUGUAAGUAAUUGCCACUUCAUAACACUUCAUAUAACAAGUGUUAAAACUUGUACACAAAGAUAAUAAAAUUGAAAAGGU
rnacentral:lncRNA from 1 species